AUAAAACAAAGAAAGCAGUUUGAAUUUGUAUCUAGAACAAGAAAGGUGAAAAAAACAAAACUUCCAAAUGCAGUAAUUCACAGAGUGACCACAGGAGGGCGCAGUUUCACCUUUAAACUCCAUCUUUACACAUUAGUAUCUCAAACUAACUUCGGAGCUUCAGUACAAAGUUUUCACUCAUCCCGUGUCUUCAUUUAUCUGCUUCUUAGACACUUUGGAGAACGACAGGGAGAGGAAGAGAGAAACUGGAGAAACUUUCUGCGACACUUCCGGUUGAAGCUUCCGGUAAUCACGCCCAGGUGUGUUCAGGUGUUCUCAGGUGUGUAUAUCAUUGUUUCGAGCAGGUAAGCGGUGCGGACCGCGGGCAGCCUGGCUGUGGAUCAAAGCGGUGGAAGAAGAAGGAGCCGGGGAAGGAGAGAUGAAGUCUAGAUACUGAGAACUCUGUCGACAUCUUCCAGGAGGAUCCCCCGUCGGUGGCCGUCUUCCUGCUCAGGUAGGAGACUCAAAGCUUUCUUAAUGUUGUUUUAUUAUGUUCCAGGUUUUAGGUCUUAUAGAUGUUUAGACUCAGGUAUUUUAAUCAUUUCAUCCUUUUUGGAGUGGAGGAUCAUCAGGUGUUUAAUGAAAUACUACAUUUUUAUAAUCCUUAUUUCAUUAAUCACCUGAUGUUCCUCCACUAUAACAAGGAUGUAAUGAUUAAAAUAACUGAGUCUAAACGUUUAUAAGACCUAAACCUGGAA